GGGCCAUGGCUCAGUGGUAGAGCAUCUCUUUUGUAUGUAGAUGGUCCCAUGUUAAAUCCCUAGCAUCUCCA